rnacentral:rRNA from 1 species
UACGUAGGGGGCUAGCGUUGUCCGGAAUCAUUGGGCGUAAAGCGCGUGUAGGCGGUCCGGUAAGUCCGCUGUGAAAGUCGAGGGCUCAACCCUCGAAUGCCGGUGGAUACUGUCGGGCUUGAGUACGGGAGAGGCGAGUGGAAUUCCUGGUGUAGCGGUGAAAUGCGCAGAUACCAGGAGGAACACCGAUUGCGAAGGCAGCUCGCUGGAACGUUACUGACGCUGAGACGCGAAAGCGUGGGGAGCGAACAGG